ensembl:lncRNA novel transcript
AAGUGAGGAGCGUCUUUGCCUGGCCGCCCAUCGUCUGAGAUGUGGGGAGCGCCUCUGCCCCCCCGCCCCGUCUGGGAUGUGAGGAGCGCCUCUGCCCAGCCGCGACCCUGUCUGGGAGGUGAGGAGCAUCUCUGCCCAGCCGCCCCGUCUGAGAAGUGAGGAGACCCUCCGCCUGGCAACCGCCCUGUCUGAGAAGUGAGGAGCCCCUCCGCCCGGCAGCCACCCCAUCAGGGAAGUGAGGAGCGUCUCUGCCCGGAGGGAAGAGUGAAUAUAAGUGUGGCCUGAGUGAAAAGGAGAUUCAGACACGUCUGUAAGCUGGUGAGGCCGGGCAUCGGAAACCCUAUUUACGCGACUCUGAGGAGCCUCCUGAGAAGCCAAGCUCUGUGCCGAUGGGAUCAGACACCACUGAACAUGUCCACGGUGCUUGGGGGCUUGGACAACAGCAGUCCGACACUGAGACACCUGCAGGCACGGAGUUCAUCGUCCCAGGGGAAGUUUGUUACAGUAAAUGGAUGAGCACCUGACCCAAAGGCCGCCAACCAAUAAACUAGCCAGUGUCGUGUGUGAUAC